GUUAGCAGAAAGUGGCGAACGGGUGAGUAACGCGUGGGUAAUCUACCCUGUAAGUGGGGGAUAACCCUCCGAAAGGAGGGCUAAUACCGCAUAAUAUCUUUAUCCCAAAAGAGGUAAAGAUUAAAGAUGGCCUCUAUACUAUGCUAUCACUUCAGGAUGAGCCCGCGUCCUAUUAGUUAGUUGGUGGGGUAAUGGCCUACCAAGACUACAAUGGGUAGCCGGUCUGAGAGGAUGUACGGCCACACUGGGACUGAGAUACGGCCCAGACUCCUACGGGAGGCAGCAGUGGGGAAUAUUGCGCAAUGGGGGAAACCCUGACGCAGCGACGCCGCGUGGAUGAUGAAGGCCCUUGGGUUGUAAAAUCCUGUUCUGGGGGAAGAAAGCUUAAGGGUUCAAUAAACCUUUAAGCCUGACGGUACCCCAAGAGAAAGCUCCGGCUAAUUAUGUGCCAGCAGCCGCGGUAAUACAUAAGGAGCAAGCGUUAUCCGGAAUUAUUGGGCGUAAAGAGCUCGUAGGCGGUCUUAAAAGUCAGGUGUGAAAUUAUCAGGCUCAACCUGAUAAGGUCAUCUGAAACUUUAAGACUUGAGGUUAGAAGAGGAA
rnacentral:rRNA from 1 species